rnacentral:rRNA from 1 species
AGAGUUUGAUCCUGGCUCAGAGCGAACGUUAGCGGCGGGCUUAACACAUGCAAGUCGAGCGAGAAAGUGGCUUCGGCCAUCAGUAAAGCGGCGGACGGGUGAGUAACACGUAGGUAAUCUUCCCUUGAGCGGGGGACAACGAGGCGAAAGCCUCGCUAAUACCGCAUACGUUUCUCGAGACUCUGGUCUUGAGAAGGAAAGCUAGGCCGCAAGGUCCGGCACUCGAGGAGGAGCCUGCGUCGCAUCAGCUAGUUGGUGGGGUAACGGCCUACCAAGGCGAAGACGCGUAGCUGGUCUGAGAGGAUGAUCAGCCACACUGGGACUGAGACACGGCCCAGACUCCUACGGGAGGCAGCAGUGGGGAAUAUUGGACAAUGGGCGCAAGCCUGAUCCAGCCACGCCGCGUGAGUGAUGAAGGCCUUCGGGUCGUAAAGCUCUGUGGGGAGGGACGAACCGCCGGAUGUUCAUAGCAUCCGGCAUGACGGUACCUCCUUAGCAAGCACCGGCUAACUUCGUGCCAGCAGCCGCGGUAAUAC